UACGUAGGGUGCAAGCGUUGUCCGGAAUUAUUGGGCGUAAAGAGCUCGUAGGCGGUUUGUCGCGUCUGCUGUGAAAACGCGAGGCUCAACCUCGCGCCUGCAGUGGGUACGGGCAGACUAGAGUGCGGUAGGGGAGAUUGGAAUUCCUGGUGUAGCGGUGGAAUGCGCAGAUAUCAGGAGGAACACCGAUGGCGAAGGCAGAUCUCUGGGCCGUUGACUGACGCUGAGGAGCGAAAGCGUGGGGAGCGAACAGG
rnacentral:rRNA from 1 species